rnacentral:lncRNA from 1 species
AUGAGUGACCUUGGAGCAGGGUCCCUGCAGCCAGCUCAGCAGAGGCCAGAAGGAGCUGUUCCCCGCCUCAUCUGAGAAAUAAGUUCUUGCGUUGUGUUCAGAAGUCCUGUUUGUCUCCCAUCAGACAGCCACACUUCUGCAAGGGUUUGUUCCCACCUGGGAAGAACUUGUUGGGUUUGGCCCUGGGGACCGAGCCUCGGAAUUGGUCAAGCCACACGUGCGGGGAACGGGGAGCGAGGGGCCGUCCCCGCUCCUGGGCUCCCCCCUCCACCCCUAACCCGGACCAGCUCCUUCAUUCUCCGGCUUCCUUGUGUCAUUCUUAACCCUGCGAAUCCCCAGCCACGGGUCUCCAGCCCAGCCUGUCCCGUUACCAGCGCCCUCCCGCUGCCCCCGCCCCUGCAUUUGGCAUUGACCCUAGGCAAGCUUCCUGUGUUUCCGUCCCCUUCUCCCUAACGUGGGAAAUCUUGCCUCACUGCUUGGGGAAAAGCAAGGCGCUUAGGGGUGAUCUCACAAUUUCCUUACCCCACCUGCAAUUUUCCUUCCUAUUUAUCUCGACUGCUUUGACCUUGGAGAUUGCUUCCUGUUCCAGGCCAACCCACCUGUCCCUGCUCCCUGGGACCGCCAUCACCUCCAAGCACGUCCUGUUGCCCGGUGCCGCCCAGCCUAUCAACACACUCAAGUCUCCCGUCCUGAAAGGCCCAUCUGUGGGCUCCAUGUUCAGCUCUGGCUAUGGGGGUCCCUUCCCUGUCCCCACUCAGUCCCUCCCCCGAGCCCUCCACAGGUGGAGGUGCUGGUGAGUGUAACUGCUGGACCCAGAGCGUGUCCUCGGCUCGGGCCCUCCCAGCCCUUAUGCUGCGCUGACACUGGAUCCUUCUCCCCAGAUAUGCGGCUUCCCGGGCCUCCCUGCUCAGACCGCUCAGCUCAAUGUACAAUUUAAUGUGGAAGUUUUCUCCGAGGCUUUUCUCUCGGGUGGUUUCCUGACGUUAAUUCUAGAAUCUCUGACUCUAGCCCAGACCUGACCCCCAGCUCCAGACCGUCUACCUGGCUCUCAGCCGGACCCUCCCCGCUGGGGCCCACAGAGCCUGUCAAAAUCAGCACGUCCAAAAAUAAACGCAUCCUUGCCUGG